UACAGAGGAGCCAAGCGUUGUCCGGAUUGACUGGGCGUAAAGCGCACGCAGGUGGUCGUGCAAGUGUCGUGUGAAAGCAGCUCGCUCAACGAGCUGAGGCAUGGCAGACUGGAUGACUCGAGCCCGUGAGAGGUCGGCGGAAUUGCCGGUGUAGUAGUGAAAUACGUAGAGAUCGGCAGGAACACCCAAGGGGAAGCCAGCCGACUGGCACGGUGCUGACACUGAGGUGCGAGAGCGUGGGGAGCGAACAGG
rnacentral:rRNA from 1 species